rnacentral:lncRNA from 1 species
AUGUCCCCCCGCCCCCUCCCGGUGGCUUGGAGUGCUCCUGCCGCUGUGUCGGUCCGCGUGUCCGCGUCCCAGGGGCGUCUCGGGGCCAGCGGGCAGGUGGGUCCUACUUCUGUCCGUUCGGUCACCCUGUUCCUUCAGUGGGAGCAUGUAGUCCAUUUAGGCUCAGGUCGCGUAACUCCUUUUGUUGCCCCUGGUUCCGUGUUCUCCAGCGUCUGUACCGCAUCCGCCUUCCUCCCGGUGUUUGGUCUUGGUCCUCUGCGGCGGGGGCGCCUCGCCGGGUCCUUGCCCGCGGCCCCCGGCAGCGCUGCCCAGGGCGGGGGUCCUCUCCGGAGCCCGGGGGCGCCUGGGGGUCCGUACCUGGCGUCGCGGGUGUCGGGGCGCAGGUCGGGCCGCGCCGCCUUGCUGUGGGCUCCGGUGCCGCCCCCGGCACGCGCCCGAGCGCCGCGGGGAGGCGGGUUCGCGGCGGGGGGGGGCGGGGGGCCCGGGGGUCCGCGGCGCCCCGGAAGCCACGGUUGUUGCGGCUCCUCCUGCGGCCGCCCCGGGCGGAGGGGGGCGGGGCUCCGGGGGCGGGGCUCCGGGUGCGCCCCGUGCUGUGCCCCGGCCCCCCCCCCCACCCCCCCCCCCCGCGGGUUCCCACGCCCUUGCAGGUGGCCGGCCGCGGGGAGCCCCGGGGGGCGGGGGCGGGGGCUUGGGCCGCGGCGGGGGCGGGGCUGUGCGGGGCUGUGCGGGCGGCGCUCCCCGCAGGCCGGGUCGCGGGCUCGAGGCCCCAGGCCCGGGCUCCUGUCCACGGAGGGCCCCGCCACGUCGGCCCCCGGGGGCGGUGAGCUCCGCUGGGAGGAGGGCGCUCCCGCCCCGGGCUGCCCUGGGCCCGCCCCUGUGGAGGCUGCGGGUUGGGUCCUGUCCACGCCGCCCCCGCCCCCUCCUCCCUGCAGGGUCCCCCAUCCCCGCCCAUCCCCGCCCAUCCCCGCAGCCCCUACCCCUCUGCGCACCUUGGCCCUGACCUGGGCACUGCUGUCGGCGGGGGGGGGGUACGGCGGGCGCCAGGCGGCUCCCCGGGCUGCGUCCCUCCCACCAACUGCCUCGCGCCCCCGCACCCCGUGCACACCUCGCGCCCCCCCUUUACAUCCAGCCGCAGUUUCCUCUACUCUAGGGGCAAUCAACUUUAUUACCACUGUUAUUAAUAUAAAACCCCCAGCUAUGUCUCAAUAUCAGACCCCUUCACUUGAAUGA